GGUGAUGGGGUUUCUGAGUUUGUGC
rnacentral:siRNA from 1 species